GACGAACGCUGGCGGCGUGCUUAACACAUGCAAGUCGAACGUGAUUUUUGUGGAAAUUCUUUCGGGAAUGGAAAUGAAAUGAAAGUGGCGAACGGGUGAGUAACACGUGAGCAACCUACCUUACACAGGGGGAUAGCCGUUGGAAACGACGAUUAAUACCGCAUGAGACCACAGAAUCGCAUGAUAUAGUGGUCAAAGAUUUAUCGGUGUAAGAAGGGCUCGCGUCUGAUUAGCUAGUUGGAAGGGUAAAGGCCUACCAAGGCGACGAUCAGUAGCCGGUCUGAGAGGAUGAACGGCCACAUUGGAACUGAGACACGGUCCAAACUCCUACGGGAAGCAGCAGUGGGGAAUAUUGCACAAUGGGGGGAACCCUGAUGCAGCGACGCCGCGUGAGCGAAGAAGGUUUUCGAAUCGUAAAGCUCUGUCCUAUGAGAAGAUAAUGACGGUAUCAUAGGAGGAAGCCCCGGCUAAAUACGUG
rnacentral:rRNA from 1 species